rnacentral:rRNA from 1 species
UUGGCCUACGGGAGGCAGCAGUGGGGAAUAUUGCGCAAUGGGGGGAACCCUGACGCAGCAACGCCGCGUGCGGGAUGAAGGCCUUCGGGUUGUAAACCGCUUUCAGCAGGGAAGAGACAGACGGUACCUGCAGAAGAAGCCCCGGCUAACUACGUGCCAGCAGCCGCGGUAAUACGUAGGGGGCGAGCGUUAUCCGGAUUCAUUGGGCGUAAAGCGCGCGCAGGCGGACCGUUAAGCGGGACCUCUAAUCCUGGGGCUCAACCUCAGGCCGGGUCCCGAACUGGCGGUCUCGAGUGCGGGAGGGG